AAUGAACGUUGGCGGCGUGGAUUAGGCAUGCAAGUCGAGCGAGAACCCCGCAAGGGGGGACAGCGGCGAAAGGGACAGUAAUGUGUAGAUUAUCUGCCCUCAGGUCCGGGAUAGCUGCGGGAAACUGCAGGUAAUACCGGAUAACAUCUCCGGAUCAAAGGUGUGAUUCCGCCUGAGGAUGAGUCUGCAUCCUACUAGCUAGUUGGUGGGGUAAUGGCCUACCAAGGCAUUGAUGGGUAGCAGGUGUGAGAGCACGACCUGCGUCAUUGGGACUGAGACACUGCCCAGACACCUACGGGUGGCUGCAGUCGAGAAUCUUCGGCAAUGGGCGCAAGCCUGACCGAGCGACGCCGCGUGUGGGAUGAAGGCCUUCGGGUUGUAAACCACUGUCAGAGGGGAUGAAAUGCAGGUGGGUUCUCCCAUCUGUUUGACAUAGCCUCAGAGGAAGGACGGGCUAAGUUCGUG
rnacentral:rRNA from 1 species